rnacentral:rRNA from 1 species
UACGUAGGGUGCAAGCGUUAAUCGGAAUUACUGGGCGUAAAGCGUGCGCUGGCGGUUUUGUAAGUCUGACGUGAAAGCCCCGGGCUUAACCUGGGAAUUGCGUUGGAGACUGCAAGGCUUGAAUCUGGCAGAGGGGGGUAGAAUUCCACGUGUAGCAGUGAAAUGCGUAGAGAUGUGGAGGAACACCGAUGGCGAAGGCAGCCCCCUGGGUCAAGAUUGACGCUCAUGCACGAAAGCGUGGGGAGCAAACAGG